rnacentral:rRNA from 1 species
AACGAACGCUGGCGGCAGGCUUAACACAUGCAAGUCGAACGCCCCGCAAGGGGAGUGGCAGACGGGUGAGUAACGCGUGGGAACGUGCCCUUCGCUUCGGAAUAGCCCCGGGAAACUGGGAGUAAUACCGGAGACGCCGUAUUGGGAAAGAUUUAUCGGCGAAGGAUCGGCCCGCGUUAGAUUAGCUCGUUGGCGGUGUAAUGGACCACCAAGGCUACGAUCUAUAGCUGGUCUGAGAGGAUGAUCAGCCACACUGGGACUGAGACACGGCCCAGACUCCUACGGGAGGCAGCAGUGGGGAAUCUUGGACGAUGGGCGCAAGCCUGAUCCAGCCAUGCCGCGUGAGUGAAGAAGGCCUUAGGGUUGUAAAACUCUUUCGCCGGAGAAGAUAAUGACGGUAUCCGGAGAAGAAGCCCCGGCUAACUUCGUGCCAGCCGCCGCCGUAAUAC